rnacentral:rRNA from 1 species
UACGUAGGGGGCAAGCGUUGUCCGGAAUCAUUGGGCGUAAAGAGCGCGUAGGCGGUCCGGUAAGUCGGUUGUGAAAACUGGGGGCUCAACCCUCAGAGGCCGACCGAUACUGUCGGGCUAGAGUCCGGAAGAGGCGAGUGGAAUUCCUGGUGUAGCGGUGAAAUGCGCAGAUAUCAGGAGGAACACCAACGGCGAAGGCAGCUCUGGUGGUACAUGA